GAGUAGGUGAGAGGGAAGUAGAAUUCCAGGUGUAGCGGUGAAAUGCGUAGAGAUCUGGAGGAAUACCGAUGGCGAAGGCAGCUUCCUGGCAUCAUACUGACACUGAGGCUCGAAAGCGUGGGUAGCAAACAGGAUUAGAUACCCGAGUAGUCCAAGGGACAU
rnacentral:rRNA from 1 species